AUUGAACGCUGGCGGCAGGCCUAACAAAUGCAAGUCGAACGAGUGGCGGACGGGUGAGUAAUGUCUGGGAAACUGCCUGAUGGAGGGGGCUAACUCCUGGAAACGGUAGCUAAUACCGAAUACCAACGAAAGUGCCCAGAUGGGAUUAGCUAGUAGGUGGGGUAAAGGCUCACCUAGGCGACGAUCCCUAGCUGGUCUGAGAGGAUGACCAUCCACACGGGAACUAAUACUCGGUCCAUACUCAUACGGGAGGCAGCAGCUGGGAAUAUUGCACAAUGUGCGCAAGCCUGAUGCAGCCAUCCCGCGUGUAUGAAUAAGGCCUUCGGGUUGUAAAGUACUUUCAGCGGGGAGGCGUUACCCGCUGAAGAAGCACCGGCUAACUCCUUGCCAGCAGCCGCGGUAAUUC
rnacentral:rRNA from 1 species